rnacentral:rRNA from 1 species
UACAGAGGGGGCAAGCGUUGUUCGGAAUUACUGGGCGUAAAGGGCUGGUAGGCGGCCAACUAAGUCGGAUGUGAAAUCCCCAGGCUUAACCUGGGAACUGCAUCCGAUACUGGUCGGCUUGAAUCCGGGAGAGGGAUGCAGAAUUCCAGGUGUAGCGGUGAAAUGCGUAGAUAUCUGGAGGAAUACCGGUGGCGAAGGCGGCAUCCUGGACCGACAUUGACGCUGAGGAGCGAAAGCUAGGGGAGCAAACGGG